rnacentral:rRNA from 1 species
ACAGCAGUAGCCACGGUAAUACGGAGGGUGCAAGCGUUAUCCGGAUUUAUUGGGUUUAAAGGGUCCGUAGGCGGAUCUGUAAGUCAGUGGUGAAAUCUCACAGCUUAACUGUGAAACUGCCAUUGAUACUGCAGGUCUUGAGUAAAUUUGAAGUGGCUGGAAUAAGUAGUGUAGCGGUGAAAUGCAUAGAUAUUACUUAGAACACCAAUUGCGAAGGCAGGUCACUAAGAUUUAACUGACGCUGAUGGACGAAAGCGUGGGGAGCGAACAGGAUUAGAUACCCCGGUAGUCCUGUCUCUUAUACA